rnacentral:rRNA from 1 species
UUGAGGAUCUUCCGCAAUGGGUGCAAGCCUGAUGGAGCGACGUUGCGUGUGGGAUGAAGGCUUUCGGGUUGUAAACCACUGUCACUCGUUAAGAAAGGGUCCGGUGUUAACAGCAUCGGGAACUGACAAAGGCGAGAGAGGAAGCCACGGCUAACUUCGUGCCAGCAGCCGCGGUAAGACGAAGGUGGCGAGCGUUGUUCGGAAUCACUGGGCAUAAAGCGCACGUAGGCGGCGACGUAAGUUGGGUGUGAAACCCCUCGGCCUAACCGAGGAACUGCGCCCAGUACUGCGUUGCUUGAGGAUCAAAGGGGUGCAUGGAAUUCCCGGUGGAGCGGUGAAAUGCGUUGAUAUCGGGAGGAACUCCGGCGGCGAAAGCGGUGCACUGGUUGAUUUCUGACGCUGAGGUGCGAAAGCCAGGGGAGCAAACGGG